GUGAGCAUUGGAUCAUCCUAUAAUUAUGGGAAUGAAGACCAGGCGGAAUUCCUCUGCGUUGUCUCCAAGGAGCUGCACAACACGCCCUAUGGCACAGCCAGUGAGCCCAGCGAAAAAGCAAAGAUUUUGCAGGAACGAGGUUCGAGGAUGUAAUUAUGCUCCAGUAUUGAAUGCAGAAGAUUGUUUUAUUUGCAUCACCAUACAAAGAGGCUUGGUGCCAAGCGGAAGUCUCUUGUUUAGACAAGAUGGAUUUUUAACCUUUUAAAAUGGUGCGCCUGGAGCAGGCCUGGGUUGCCUCGUCGUUCCAAUGCUGGUUCUGAUACCUGGUUGUGCUAAUUGUAAUUCAAUGGAAGGACUCAGCUCUACUCUGUGCUUUUGCCCUAUAGAGCUGUAGCGCUUUCUCCAGUGCCAACCAGAUGAAGUCCUGUUGGUUUGUGGGAAGUGACGGGGGGUUUAGUUACUGCAGGUGGUUCAAGGACAACAUAUUGGUGCUAUUACAUACAAAUUACAGUCUGUAUAUGGGCCUAUGUUAUUAGCAGCCUCUGUGGACUUCUCCUAUACAUUCCUUUGCGGUUCUAAUGUAAGAAUGUUUUAGGAAAUAAGUAUUCCUCUGUCAGGUUAAACAAAAUACGUGUUUCUCUCCUUCCCAGUUCCUCUCACAUCUUCCCCUUGCUUCCUUUAUUACCCAAAGGGGAGAAGUCUCUUUUGCCUGCAUUCCUAGAGAUGGCCUUCAGGUAGCUUGAUCUUACCAAUGUCAACGUUCAGUUUGACUGCACUUAAGGAUUGAAGACCAGUUUUGUUUACAAAUGAUACAACAUCUUGCCUUUCAAAUGCAUGGCUACCUACCAUGUUUUUUGAAAAUAUCUGCAAAUGUUGAUGGUGGCAGAGCUGAAGUUAGGCCUCAGAUUUUAGUCUUAAUGGGUGCUCAGUCCAGAGAGUUGGAAAUGAAAGUCUGUGUGCCCUGAAGCAUAGAAUUUAUGCAGCUGAAAGUAGGAAUUCUUCUGAUUCUUAAACAGAUGUUUACAGCUAUUUCUAUAUUAUCUAUGCAGUUCUUUCUAAUGUUUUGGCAAAUACUGUCAAAACGAACCAUAGUUUCAUUAAGAGAAGCUUCUAGUAAAUGUGAAAAAACACAACUGGAUAUUUUUAGAGCACUGUGUUUAAAUGGAACCAUUGGCACGUGUUUCAGAAUAGUUUAAAGAGGAAUCUACUUCAAAUUUCUCUUUGUUCCUUAGAGAGAGUCCCUGCUUGUCUGAGGCUUUAUAGAAUUCUACCCAUAUUUUAAGCUGUUCAUUAAACAACUUAUGUCAUAACACA